CAAGAAGCUGGGAGGGAGAACAACCAAGACAGCUGACAAAAACUGGCCACAGGGAUAUUCCGUAACACUGAAUGUCAUGCUCAGUGUAUAAACUGGGGCAAGUUGGUCAGGAGGGACCAAUUGCUGCCAGGGGAUGAGCUGGGCAUUGGUCAGAGGCUGGGGACAAGUGGAGUGAGUGAGUAGCUGCGUGGUGCUCAGUUGCCUGCUGGGGUUAAACCAUGACAUGAGCUUUUUUCCUUUUUUUGCCCUGAAGUAUCAGAAGGAAGCAGAGUGUUGAUGCCUGUUGAACUCAUCGUGAAGCAAUCUGACAUUGACUGUUGCUGGAUGAAAAUACGCUAAUAAUAUCCCCGUACACGGAUAUAAUGAGUGCCACUUGGGAGAAUCCCAAAGCUCGGCGUAAUGCUGUGACAGGCAGAUGCUUCCCUUCCAAAUACUGCUGAAAUGCUGCCAUGUAGGAGCAGGAGGAUGCAGCAGCUGCA